GAUGAACGCUGGCGGCGUGCCUAAUACAUGCAAGUCGAGCGAACAGACGAGGAGCUUGCUCCUUUGACGUUAGCGGCGGACGGGUGAGUAACACGUGGGUAACCUACCUAUAAGACUGGGAUAACUUCGGGAAACCGGAGCUAAUACCGGAUAAUAUUUCGAACCGCAUGGUUCGAUAGUGAAAGAUGGCUUUGCUAUCACUUAUAGAUGGACCUGCGCCGUAUUAGCUAGUUGGUAAGGUAACGGCUUACCAAGGCAACGAUACGUAGCCGACCUGAGAGGGUGAUCGGCCACACGGGAACUGAGACACGGUCCAGAGUCCUACGGGAGGCAGCAGUAGGGAAUCUUCCGCAAUGGGCGAAAGCCUGACGGAGCAACGCCGCGUGAGUGAUGAAGGUCUUCGGAUCGUAAAACUCUGUUAUUAGGGAAGAACAAACGUGUAAGUAACUGUGCACGGCUUGACGGUACCUAAUCAGAAAGCCACGGCUAACUACGUG
rnacentral:rRNA from 1 species